AUGAUCAAAGAGAUAAGGAAGCAAAGCGGCGUUUCAUGGGACGACCGGCAGUGCAGGAUUCUAGCGGAUCCACCACUUUGGAAAAACAUCAUCAUAUCACACCCUAAAGCUGGAAAGUUCAAGACAAAAGCCUUCCCUCUUUUUGAAGCUUUGGGAGAAUUGCAUGAUGGCCAAACUGCAAAAGGGACAUAUAACUUCACCUCUAUCGAGUCAUCACAUUGCUCAACCCAAUUAGAUCUCGAGAAUCUUGGAGGAGCUAGCAAGAAUCAAGGAGAAACAUCAGUUGAUGGUGAGAAUCUUGGAGGAGAAAGGGUGCAGAUUGAUGAAGAUGUUGAGGAGGUUUACGUGCAAGAAAACAUUGAUGUGGAGCCCGAGCAAACUCAACCAAAUUUGGCUACUGCACCCUCAAGAAAUGGAGAAGAGAAAGAACCAAAGAGAAGGAGGGGGGCGAAUGGUGAUGUGGCUGCAAUGAUGGAGAAGUACUUGGACAUAAGGACGAAGCAGGUGGAGGAUGAGAGGAAUAAGCCAAAGGUCGUGGAUGAGUACUCUAUCAAAAACUGCAUUGAUCUGCUGAAAACAAUGGAGAUCACACUUGAAGAAGAAGUCAAGGCUUUCCGAGUCUUCAAGAUCCCCGAGAACCGAGAGAUUUUCGUGAGUGCCAGACCGGAGACUGCUCUUAUGUGGCUGAGAGCUGAAAUGGAAUAA
rnacentral:rRNA from 1 species